GACGAACGCUGGCGGCAUGCCUAACACAUGCAAGUCGAACGAGCGCUUCGGAUCUAUUGUUGCCCGGUUGCAUCAGGCGUGGGAAGCUUCCCUUAUGUUUGAAAUAACUCUCCGACUGGGAUACUAAUACGGGAUAGUGUCUUCGAACCAAUGAUUUUUUGCCUUUGGUUGUUCCCGCGUUGGAUUCGGUCGUUGUUAGGGUAAAAGCCUACUAAGGCGACGAUGAGUAACUGGUUUGAGAGGAUGAUCAGCGACACUGGGACUGAGACCCGGCCGAGACUCCUACGGGAGGCAGCAGUGGGGAAUAGUGGAAAACGGGCGAAAUGCUGAUCCAGCAAUGACGCGUGAGUGAUGAAGGCAUUAGGGUUGUAAAGCUCUUUUAACCGGGAUGAUAAUGACAGUACCGGGAGAAUAAGCCCCGGCUAACUCCGUG
rnacentral:rRNA from 1 species